rnacentral:lncRNA from 1 species
GGGGGGGUCUGUAUUUUUGUUGAGAAGAUGAAGUUACAGGGGAAUUGGGUCUUGUAUUUGGUGUUUUGUUUGUCUAUUGCGGCUGAUCUUUACUGUGUCUAGCCUCCAGUGACGCCUACUUUCAUUGUGUGUAUAGGUAUUAGAGUUUUUCUGUUUCAAUGAAGAAGAUGCAAGUUCAGAAAAUGGAGGGGGUGGGGCUUUCCCUGAAAAGUUGUACCCAGAUCUCCUUUUUUGUCUAUCAACGUUACUUUUUUUCUUCUUUUUGUAGGCAUAGGGUC